AGAAGGCUUUGGAGAAGGGUACUUUCUGUGGACCCAGAGGGAUGUUGAGCAGGAGCCGAGGAAGCACUGUAUUCACACCCCCACGGGAGAGGCCUGGGCAAAUGCUGCUCAUCUCAGGAUCCUCAUGCACCAUGCUCAUCUGGACCAGAUACUAGCAGAGCACCUUUGCAUGCAGUGGGCCACCAGCAGCUGCGAGACAUUUAGCAAAGGAGAAGCCUGCUCAACCUAACCUAAACUAAAACCCAUGGACCACCCAGAUCCCAAGACUCUCAGAUGUCCUGGGUGAAGCUUGAAGCUGCUGGGGUGCUUGAGAUGAGCCUGCACAAUGAUGAUGAAGGCGGCAGCUCCAGAGCAUGUAAAACAGGACCACGGACAGCGGCACUCCAGCAUGCAAAUACACAGGACACAGACAAAAUCAAGCUGCAGUUGUCUUCCCCGUGUCGGGCCCGAUAAUGAACAAGUAAUUUAUGUCCAGGAGUCAGUGAAGCCUGUCGCAGGCCAGGGCUGAAAUGUUACUACGAGGGAUUCCUAGGAAGGUCAUUGCCCUGCUGUUGUCACUGUUAAGGAUUGUCUGUAAAUGGCACGGCCUUGGAGGUGUCCCCUGCUUCUCUUGGCAUCUUGGAGGGAGAAAGCACGGUGCUCCUUUGGAGCUGAUACCCUGGAACCUUUGCACAGUCUGCCGUCAGCUGGCGCACAGUGAGGAGGGGUGACGAGGGGUGACGCAGGGUGGACCGGAGCCUGAGCAGCUGUGAGGACCUGUGGGCGGGAAGGUGAGACUUCGGCAGCCUUUCUUGGUCAGAUAGGAAAGCUAAACAAAACAAGACAAAGUGGCUUCAAAA